GAAGCAGGAUUAUGGGCAAUCAUUUGCAGUGUGAAGCAAUACACAAAGCCUUGACCAUUUUCUACCUAACUGUUAACAACAAUUGACAUCACAAGCAACUAUGCAUAGGGAGUUCAAUAAACUUUGAUCUAUGACAGGUUAUGUAUGAGUUCACUUGUUACCUUGCUAUAAGCCAGCUGAACAACAAGCCAAUCGUCAAUCCAAAGGGAAAAGCCAAAGCCACUUAAAA
rnacentral:lncRNA from 1 species